rnacentral:rRNA from 1 species
AGUUCUCCCUAGUACGAGAGGACCGGGAGGAACAGACCUCUGGUGACCCUGCUGUGGCGCCAGCUGCAUCGCAGGAUAUCUAUGUCUGGAUGUGAUAACCGCUGAAAGCAUCUAAGCGGGAAGCACACCCCAAGAUUAGCGUUCCCGGGCCGCAAGGCCCCUGAAGACCCCACGGAGACUACGUGGUUGAUAGGCGGGGAGUGUAAGCGCAGCGAUGCGUUUAGCUGACCCGUACUAAUCGGUCGUGCGGCUUAACUUA